rnacentral:rRNA from 1 species
AGAGUUUGAUCCUGGCUCAGAAUCAACGCUGGCGGCGUGCCUCAGACAUGCAAGUCGAACGCGAAAGUCCCCUUCGGGGGGCAAGUAGAGUGGCGCACGGGUGAGUAACACGUAGGUAAUCUACCUUCGGGUGGGGAAUAACAACCGGAAACGGUUGCUAAUACCGCAUAAUGCAGCGGCACCUAAUGGUGACAGUUGUUAAAGCGGGGGAUCGCAAGAUCUCGCGCCUGAAGAGGAGCCUGCGGCGGAUUAGCUAGUUGGUAGGGUAACGGCCUACCAAGGCGACGAUCCGUAGCCGGCCUGAGAGGGCGGUCGGCCACACUGACACUGACAUACGGGUCAGACUCCUACGGGAGGCAGCAGUCGGGAAUUUUGGGCAAUGGGCGAAAGCCUGACCCAGCAACGCCGCGUGAAGGAUGAAAUCCCUCGGGAUGUAAACUUCGCAAGAACGGGAAGAAUAAGCCUGUGUUAAUACCACAGGCGAUGACGGUACCGUUUGUAAGCUCCGGCUAACUCCGUGCCAGCAGCCGCGGUAAUACGGGGGGAGCAA